rnacentral:rRNA from 1 species
UACGUAGGGUGCGAGCGUUAAUCGGAAUUACUGGGCGUAAAGCGCGCGCAGGCGGCUAUCCAAGUCAGUGGUGAAAGCCCGGAGCUCAACUCCGGAACUGCCAUUGAAACUGUUUAGCUUGAGGAUGAGAGAGGUGAGUGGAAUUCCCAGUGUAGAGGUGAAAUUCGUAGAUAUUGGGAAGAACACCGGUGGCGAAGGCGGCUCACUGGCUCAUUACUGACGCUCAGGUGCGAUAGCGUGGGGAUCAAACAGG